ACCUGAGAGACAGCUCAGUCUGUAGAGCAUGAGGCUCUUAAUCUCAGGGUCGUGGGUUUGAAUCCCAUGUUGGGUG